rnacentral:rRNA from 1 species
AAACUUUUAACAACGGAUCUCUUGGUUCUGGCAUCGAUGAAGAACGCAGCGAAAUGCGAUAAGUAAUGUGAAUUGCAGAAUUCAGUGAAUCAUCGAAUCUUUGAACGCACAUUGCGCCCCCUGGUAUUCCGGGGGGCAUGCCUGUUCGAGCGUCAUUAU